rnacentral:tRNA from 1 species
AGCAGUGUGGCUCAGUGGAAAGAGCACGGGCUUGGGAGUCAGAGGUCAUGGGUUCUAAUCCCAACUCUGCCA